GAUGAAGAACGCAGCGAAAUGCGAUACGUAAUGUGAAUUGCAGAAUUCAGUGAAUCAUCGAAUCUUUGAACGCACAUUGCGCCCUGUGGUAUUCCGCAGGGCAUGCCUGUUCGAGCGUCAUUUCAACCCUCAAGCCCCGCUUGGUGUUGGGCCCCGCCCGCUGUGGCCGGCCCUAAAGACAGUGGCGGCGCCGCCUGGCCCUCAGCGUAGUACAUCUCUCGCUCCAGGGUCCGGUGGCCGCCUGCCAGAACCCCCCAACUCUGUGGUUGACCUCGGAUCAGGUAGGGAUACCCGCUGAACUUAAGCAUAUCAAUAAGCGGAGGA
rnacentral:misc_RNA from 1 species